rnacentral:tRNA from 1 species
GCGCGGUUAGGGGCGACCCUUUACUUUUAAUCAUGUGGCCGAGGGUUCGAUUCCCUCCCGGCUCACCA